UUAGUACUUCCUCCGUCCGAAAAUACUUGUCAUCAAAAUGAAUGAAAAAUGAUGUAUCUAGAACUAAAAUACAUUUAGAUACAUCCUUUUUUAUUUUUUUCGAUGACAAAUAUUUUCGGACGGAGAAAGUACCAU
rfam:Triticum aestivum genome assembly, contig: Triticum_aestivum_CS42_TGACv1_scaffold_472094_6AL